AGUGAACGCUGGCGGUAGGCCUAACACAUGCAAGUCGAACGGCAGCACAGUAAGAGCUUGCUCUUACGGGUGGCGAGUGGCGGACGGGUGAGGAAUACAUCGGAAUCUACUUUUUCGUGGGGGAUAACGUAGGGAAACUUACGCUAAUACCGCAUACGACCUACGGGUGAAAGCAGGGGAUCUUCGGACCUUGCGCGAUUGAAUGAGCCGAUGUCGGAUUAGCUAGUUGGCGGGGUAAAGGCCCACCAAGGCGACGAUCCGUAGCUGGUCUGAGAGGAUGAUCAGCCACACUGGAACUGAGACACGGUCCAGACUCCUACGGGAGGCAGCAGUGGGGAAUAUUGGACAAGGGGCGCAAGCCUGAUCCAGCCAUACCGCGUGGGUGAAGAAGGCCUUCGAGUUGUAAAGCCCUUUUGUUGGGAAAGAAAAGCAGCAGGUUAAUACCCCGCUGUUCUGACGGUACCCAAAGAAUAAGCACCGGCUAACUUCGUG
rnacentral:rRNA from 1 species